CCUACGGGAGGCAGCAGUGGGGAAUAUUGCGCAAUGGGCGAAAGCCUGACGCAGCGACGCCGCGUGAGGGAUGAAGGUCUUCGGGUCGUAAACCUCUGUCAGCCGGGAAGAAGGGUCCCUGUGCUAAUAACCAGUGAAUUGACGGUACCUACAACGAAAGCACCGGCUAACUCCGUGCCAGCAGCCGCGGUAAUACGGAGGGUGCGAGCGUUAAUCGGAAUUACUGGGCGUAAAGCGCUCGUAGGCGGUCGGUCAAGUCAAGUGUGAAAUCCCCGCGCUCAACGCGGGAACUGCCUUUGAAACUGGCAAGCUAGAGUGUGUGAGAGGAUAGUAGAAUUCCAGGUGUAGGAGUGAAAUGCGUAGAUAUGUGGAGGAAUACCAGUGGCGAAGGCGACCAUCUGGCACAUAACUGACGCUGAGGAGCGAAAGCGUGGGUAGCAAACAGGAUUAGAUACCCUAGUAGUC
rnacentral:rRNA from 1 species